UACAGAGGUCCCAAGCGUUGUUCGGAUUCAUUGGGCGUAAAGGGUGCGUAGGCGGCGCGGUAAGUCGGGUGUGAAAUCUCGGAGCUUAACUCCGAAACUGCAUUCGAUACUGCCGUGCUUGAGGACUGGAGAGGAGACUGGAAUUUACGGUGUAGCGGUGAAAUGCGUAGAUAUCGUAAGGAAGACCAGUGGCAAAGGCGGGUCUCUGGACAGUUCCUGACGCUGAGGCACGAAGGUCAGGGGAGCAAACGGG
rnacentral:rRNA from 1 species